rnacentral:rRNA from 1 species
UGGGGAAUUUUGGACAAUGGGCGCAAGCCUGAUCCAGCCAUGCCGCGUGCGGGAAGAAGGCCUUCGGGUUGUAAACCGCUUUUGUCAGGGAAGAAAUCUUCUGAGUUAAUACCUCGGGAGGAUGACGGUACCUGAAGAAUAAGCACCGGCUAACUACGUGCCAGCAGCCGCGGUAAUACGUAGGGUGCAAGCGUUAAUCGGAAUUACUGGGCGUAAAGCGUGCGCAGGCGGUUUUGUAAGACAGAGGUGAAAUCCCCGGGCUCAACCUGGGAACUGCCUUUGUGACUGCAAGGCUUGAGUGCGGCAGAGGGGGAUGGAAUUCCGCGUGUAGCAGUGAAAUGCGUAGAUAUGCGGAGGAAACACCGAUGGCGAAGGCAAUCCCCUGGGCCUGCACUGACGCUCAUGCACGAAAGCGUGGGGAGCAAACAGGAUUAGAUACCCUGGUAGUCCNCGCCCUAAACGAUGUCAACU